CCCAGAGGUAUUGAUGGGUGAACAUCAAAAAUUUGUUGUUUUUAGUUGAUUACACCAACCUGCGCAGAUGCGCAGGUUUUUUUU
rnacentral:sRNA from 1 species